ensembl:lncRNA
CUUUCAGAAACAUUUUACUAACCCUUAAAGUUUUGAAGAGUAGUGUAUUUUUAUAUAAAUAAUUUUUAUAUAGCCUAUAUUUUCAUAUUACUCCCUCUUCUCUUCUCAAGCUCCCUGCAUUCCCACCAAUGUCGCUGCUGCUCUAAACUGUACAUCCAACAUUGCUUCCAUCACCUGGCACAGUGCCCUUGGUGCCACUUGGUACUUGGUAAAGGCAGAAGGCAACCAAGGGUACAAGACAUCCUGCAACAACACUGUCACAAGCUGUGAUAUCCCAAACCUGCAGUGCGGCCAGGAAUAUUCCAUCACAGUCAUGGGCAUGAAUGGUGACUGCAUGGGCCCGGCUAGCCAGCUUGUCAAACUUGCCUCAGCACCAUGCAACAACACUGGCAUUCAAGCCAGUCUAGACUGCAGCUCCAACUCAGCACUCAUUUCUUGGACACCAGGCAAUGGGUCACUAAGUUUCGAUGCAACACUGCAGUCUUUUCAGGACACCCAACAGCACAGCUGCUUCACCAACGGCUCCUCCUGCAGCAUCAGUUCACUGCCGUGUGGUCAGCACUAUAACAUCAGUGUUACAGGACACGGCCAGACCUGUUCAACCUCUUCUAAAACCUUGGUCACUCUUGACUCAGGUAUAACAUAAAAUAACAACACAUAGUGCAUUUAGAUUAAACUCUAAUUUGGUGAUUCUUCUGGCAUCAAAUGAUCCAUUGUGCUAAAAUGUUCUGAUUUUGUGCAUGCAUCUUUUCCUUUCCAGCUCCAUGUGUUCCCACUCAAGUCAAUGUGUCAUUAUCCUGUGGGUCGGACACUGCAUCUGUUUCCUGGGCAGCAUCUAGUGGCAUUGUUUCAUACUAUACAGUAACAGCAGUAGAUGAUAUUGGACAUACGCUAACCUGUAACUCCAGCAGCACUUCCUGUGACAUCAGAGGCCUGGCAUGUGGUCAGGCGUACAACGUGUCAGUCACAGCUAUGAGUGUGGACUGCACUGGGCAACGUAGUGAAGUGCGUCGCAUCAAUACUGGUAAGUAUUUUCUCUAAAAUUGUAUUUUGCAUACUGCAAGUU